UUGUCCGGAAUUACUGGGUGUAAAGGGAGCGUAGGCGGGACGGUAAGUCAGGUGUGAAAUAUACGUGCUCAACAUGUAGACUGCACUUGAAACUGCUGUUCUUGAGUGAAGUAGAGGUAAGCGGAAUUCCUAGUGUAGCGGUGAAAUGCGUAGAUAUUAGGAGGAACAUCGGUGGCGAAGGCGGCUUACUGGGCUUUUACUGACGCUGAGGCUCGAAAGCGUGGGGAGCAAACAGGAUUAGAUACCCUGGUAGUCCACGCUGUAAACGAUGAUUACUAGGUGUGGGGGGACUGACCCCUUCCGCGCCGCAGUUAACACAAUAAGUAAUCCACCUGGGGAGUACGACCGCAAGGUUGAAACUCAA
rnacentral:rRNA from 1 species